rnacentral:rRNA from 1 species
UACGGAGGAUGCAAGCGUUAUCCGGAAUGAUUGGGCGUAAAGCGUCCGCAGGUGGCAGUUCAAGUCUGCUGUCAAAGACCGGGGCUUAACUUCGGAAAGGCAGUGGAAACUGAACAGCUAGAGUAUGGUAGGGGCAGAGGGAAUUCCUGGUGUAGCGGUGAAAUGCGUAGAGAUCAGGAAGAACACCAGUGGCGAAGGCGACACACUGGCCCAAUACUGACGCUGAGGCUCGAAAGCGUGGGGAGCAAACAGG